rnacentral:rRNA from 1 species
UGGGGAAUCUUGCGCAAUGCGCGAAAGCGUGACGCAGCAACGCCGCGUGGGGGAAGAAGGCCUUCGGGUUGUAAACCCCUUUCAGUUGGGACGAAGCUUCGCCGGUGAAUAGCCGGCUGGAGUGACGGUACCUUCAGAAGAAGCCCCGGCUAACUACGUGCCAGCAGCCGCGGUAAUACGUAGGGGGCAAGCGUUGUCCGGAAUCAUUGGGCGUAAAGAGCGUGUAGGCGGCUCGGUAAGUCCGCUGUAAAAGUCCAGGGCUCAACCCUGGAAAGCCGGUGGAAACUGUCGAGCUAGAGUCCGGAAGAGGCGAGUGGAAUUCCUGGUGUAGCGGUGAGAUGCGCAGAUAUCAGGAGGAACACCAAUGGCGAAGGCAGCUCGCUGGGACGGUACUGACGCUGAGACGCGGAAGCGUGGGGAGCAAACAGGAUUAGAUACCCUGGUAGUCCACGCUGUAAACGAUGGGCACUAGGUGUGGGGGGUGUCGACUCCCUCCGUGCCGACGCUAACGCAUUAAGU